AUUGAACGCUGGCGGCCGGCCUAACACAUGCAAGUCGAACGAGUGGCGGACGGGUGAGUAAUGUCUGGGAAACUGCCCGAUGGAGGGGGAUAACUACUGGAAACGGUAGCUAAUACCGCAUACCAUCGGAUGUGCCCAGAUGGGAUUAGCUAGUAGGUGGGGUAACGGCUCACCUAGGCGACGAUCCCUAGCUGGGAUGAGAGGAUGACCAGCCACUCGGGAAUGUAGACACGGUCCAGAUCCCUACGGGAGGCAGCAGGGGGGAAUAUUGCACAAUGGGCGCAAGCCGGAGGCAGCCAUGCCGCGUGUAUGAAGAAGGCCUUCGGGUUGUAAAGUACUUUCAGCGAGGAGGCGUUACUCGCAGAAGAAGCACCGGCUAACUCCGUGCCAGCAGCCGCGGUAAUAC
rnacentral:rRNA from 1 species